rnacentral:rRNA from 1 species
GACGAACGCUCGCGGCGUGCUUAACACAUGCAAGUCGAACGGAAAGGCCCCUUUGGGGGUACUCGAGUGGCGAACGGGUGAGUAACACGUGAGUAACCUGCCCUUGACUUCGGGAUAACUUCAGGAAACUGGGGCUAAUACCGGAUAGGAAUCCUUGCUGCAUGGUGGGGGUUGGAAAGCUUCGGCGGUUUUGGAUGGACUCGCGGCUUAUCAGCUUGUUGGUGGGGUAGUGGCUUACCAAGGCUUUGACGGGUAGCCGGCCUGAGAGGGCGACCGGCCACAUUGGGACUGAGAUACGGCCCAGACUCCUACGGGAGGCAGCAGUGGGGAAUAUUGCACAAUGGGCGGAAGCCUGAUGCAGCAACGCCGCGUGCGGGAUGACGGCCUUCGGGUUGUAAACCGCUUUCAGCAGGGGCGAAGCUUGUGGUGACGGUACCUGCAGAAGAAGCACCGGCUAACUACGUG